AGGAAACAGAAGUAGUGGAGGAAGUAGAAAUGUAAAUAUAAAAGAGAUCUUUCAAUAAAAUGACGUAAAUUAAAUAUAAAUCAUGCUUACAUAAAAAUGUAGCUAUAAGAUGAGACAAUUGAAGUGGUCAAACUUGAAAUUGAUAAACUGGACAGAACUUUUUACUUCAUUCAGGAUAUCUCUGUCUUAGUCUGGUUAAUGAAUUAUGUCUUAAGUUAAUUACAAUCAGUACUUAAUUAUUACUCAUACAAUGUAAAUAUGUAUAAAGAAAUAAUAAUAUAUCUACAAUAUAAACGAACACAGCAAAGUCAAGAAUAAACCGGAAGUGUCCUUGAUCGCAUAGGAAUAAAACUACCUCUUAUCAAUAAAGAGUUUACAAAAAUAUCUUCGUUUUUGUAUUUGGUUUGCGGUAUUCUUUACGUGAAUUCGUGUAUUGAAGCAUAUUUUAUUG